UCUACAUCUGGGAUAGACGUGAUUAUUUUACCUUUGGAUCUGGUUUGGUAUGGGUGGGUUGCCAGUAUGCUUAGGUGAACUAACUACUUGAAUUCUGGAAACAUAAACCAAACUUGUUAGUGAUUAGAGUUUUAACAAAUAAGCAACCGCACAUAGGAAUACCUAGGCAAUUAGUCAUUUCUAUCAUGCAUUUGCUUGAUUGCUUGUAUCAUCCCAGCUUUUUCUUAUUUAUGACAUCUCCUUUUACUGUCACUCAUGCCUAUUUUCCUUUUGGUUAUGGUCUAAUCCUAUAGAGAUUGCCUACGUAUCAUGACCCCGCAUGAAUCAGACCGAGCGUAGUUCUGGUGGAAACAAUUAUUAUUAUUUUUAUUUAUUUUAACAAACGAAAUAGUACAAUGAUAGAAAUGAUAUUACAUUUGGACAACACAUUAAGAAAAUGGUUUAAAAGACUCAACAUGGACUCAAACUAAAACAUGACUAUUAUAUGAAAAGUUCUAACAAUUAUGACUAUACUUCACUCCACAAUCUUUUGCUUUCAAUCACUGGAACAUCUGCUCAGGGUGGGGCUUGACUCGGCUGACCCCCUAAUAUAUGGUACAUCCUCUCUAACUCUACUGCAAGAUGACAGGCAAAAGUAGGCGCAUGCUCCAAAAACCUCUCAUAAUCCAUCCCCUGGCAGUUCACAUAACUUUGAGAGGUAUAAACGGCCAAAUCAUGGAUUUGUGCUCUGAAAUCUUGGAGAUUCUGAUCUUGAUUUUGUAAUUGUUGUUGGCGAGUGAAGGAUAUAUCUCUUAUGUGUCCCUCGCGAUCUAAAGCCUACUCCAAUUGAGCCCGAAGUCUGGCCUGCUCGAGUCUUGCCUGUGCUCUCUCCCUAUCAAUAUCUGCAUGCUAAUGUUCUCUGUUGUACCUUCUCAUUUCUUCCAAUUGUGCAUGGAGCUGAGCCUUUGAAUGUAUCCAAUGAUCCUUCUCUUUUUUCGAAUUGAGCCAUUUCUUCUUCAAAUCUUAUUACUUGGUGUUCUUUACUAGAUUUGGCCUUCUCAUUUAACUGUAUGAUUUUUUCCUUAGCUUUGUCUGACGCCUUUUCGGUUUUUGCCAAAAUGGAGUCAUAAUCUUGCAUCCGUUCCAUCAGAUUGGCAAUGAUUUUCUGAUCUUUCCAACUUCUCACUGGCGCUUCAGAGGCUUUCUUCAUCUGUUGAAACUGAGCGCGGAGAGUUUUAUUCUCGCAAAUCAGACUCUUCUUUUCACCUUCUGCUUCUUGUGCUUGUAAGUUUUUCUCAAAAUUGAGGUUCCUCAGGCUUUCUUCUAAGGCAUGAAUAGUUGCUUUGUACCCCUUUUCCUUUUCACCCCAACCUAACCGUUCUUGGAUUUUGUCAUCAAAGGCUUGGAUAUGUGGUCUUUUUAUGGGCCUUCUGGGAUCGGGUUCUGGUGCAUCAUCCACACGAGAUCUUUUCUCAAACCACCUAGCAUAACCUGGAUCUAACUCACUUUUCGCAGGAUCUGGAACUUGGGUAUCAUCUUUCAAGUAUAGACAACUAUUCCAAAUUAGCUGGAUUAAAGCCUCAGGGAGUGUGGCUUCGGGGUGUAGCUCAAUCACUUGCACACUCAAAUCUUCAUCAUCAGGCACCACUUGGUAUCUCCCUAGCUGUCUUAGAACUCUCUGUGGUGCAUACAGCUGGGCACUCUUCAAACCCAACAACAUCAAAUAACUCUUUAAGACCGACAUGUAUAUUACCUCUUUUACCGGGAGCCAUCCCAAAGUCCACUCAAUGUGACUUGCAAUUAAAGAUCUUAGGUGGGAUAUCCAGGCUUCCACCCCUUCUGGAGAUUUAUAAUCUUUUAUUCUUUCUUCAUAACUCUUAAUGAAAUUGUCUCUUCUAUGACCAUAUUGCAUGAACUUGGGGUGAUGUCGAAGAUGUUCAGUCAACCACAUUUGCAACAAAAUAUUGCACCCUUCGAAGAAUUUUGCUCCGGACUUACACAAAGUCAAUGCCCGAUAAAUGUCUGAGAGAAUGAUCGGGGCAAGAGUGUGAUGCUCUUUGGUAGUGAGGACUUGUACGACUCUGGCUAUGCGAAUAUCAAUCGUCCGCUCUUUGUUUGGGAAGACCAUGAUUCCCAGAAAAGCCACUAUGAAAGCGAAACGACGGUGAAUCUACCAGGUGUCCUUGCUUUGUUUGUUAGUAAGGCCCUUUUCAUGAAUUUCAAACCCAUCCGGCUUUCCGAGCCUUGAAUAUAGGAAGUUGAAAGAACAACACCCUUUAACAACGUUGCUUUUACUGAUUUGAUUACUGAUAUUCAGAAGACCAAAGAAUCGGUGUACAGAGGGGGCCUUUGGGAAUAUGAGAUUCUGGUUUCUCAAAUCUCCAUCAAAAUCGGAAUAUCCAGCUAUUUCUUCUAAAGUGGGAGUACGCUCAAAAUCAGAGAAGCGAAAGACAUUGUGAACAGGGUCCCAAAAAGUCACUAGUACCGCAAUCAAAUCAUCGCGUGGUUUAACUUUCAUAAUAUCUGUGAGAGCUCCCAAAUACUUAGUGACCCAUUCCUAACCAUCUCCUCCUAAUUCAUACCACCACAUCUGAAGCUGAAAUAGAAACUCAUCUACAUCUGUGAAUGGUGGGUUCUGGAUAGUGCUCAUUUUGUACCUAUGAGUGAUUUUAAUUUUUUUAAAAAAAUCAAGACUCAUUUUGACGCAAAAAUCAUCACUAUUUCUAAAAAAUUCAUAAAAAUAUCUUGCUUUAUCAAUAUGGCCUUUCAUCACUUCGAUGAAGAAUAUUUAAAGGCUGUAUUUGCUAACCGGCCAGAAAUUUUGAAAAAUGACCAAAGGCGGUUGUUCUUGCAAAAAUGGCCUUCCGGCACCCUUUUGGGGAUAUUUGGCAAAAUUUUGGACAAGAAUGGCAUCGCCUUAUUUAUGGCAAAACAAUGACAUUUAUGUACCCACAGUUUUGUGAUUAUUAAUUUUUCAUUUAUUUCUUUUUUUUUCAAAAAUAGCUGGGCCCGAUGUGAGUUGCCUACGUAUCUCACAUCCGGUGAAAAUCAAACUUAUGUAGUUCGUAAUAAAAAAGACCACUCUUAAAAGAAACACAAAAUUUUCUUCUUUUUUUUUUAAAAAAAAAUUCGGCAGAAUUUCAAUAUAUUUUGGAAAUUGUUUUUUCAAAAACAGACAAUUUUCUCUCUCGGUUCUCACAUUGAUUUUCCUUCUCUAACUUUCUCCCUAUAAGUCGGUCAACAUGCAAAUCCAAAACCAAUGAAUGCACAAGUAGCAAUUAAGAUGCAUCAGGAUGGUCUUUUCGUUUCGGGUACACCUGUCCUAGACAGACCCAUCCCCUGUGUUGAAUCUCCAAAGUCAAAUGCACAUGAUGCAAUCAAAUGUUCCUACUAGGGAUCCGGCAUGAAGCUGAGUUAUUCUAAGUGUAAAACCUGGGGUAUAUUGUUCUAAACCCGACUUACCCAAGCGGACAGCUCGAGCCGAAGUGGAGGCAACGUAUCGGGAGCACGAAAGUCUACCCGGCCUAGUUACUUGACCCAACUUCAUUCUAUUUGGUAUGACUUCUAAAAGAAAGGUGGGCCACACGCACGUGUGCACCAUAAAUUCAGAAGACUCAGAAAGAGGAACGGUUUCGUAACAGUUUAUAUACAGUUCACCAAUAUCGAAGCGGUAAAAAGCAACACUUAGCACAUUAGGCCCAAUCAUGUAAAUAAAAUUAGAUUAACAAAUAAAGCCAAUAUAACAAUUAUUCUAAGCUCGAAUUCUGAACCCUGAACCAGAAGUUCUGGGUUCUCUUCCCCAGCAGAGUCGCCAGAGCUGUCACACCUCUUUUUUACACACCCGAGGGGUAUUUGGAGAGUUUUUCCAAUUUAAGUGACAUUAUUCGAAAUGAGAUUAUUUUAUUUAUUUUCAGAGUCGCCACUUGGGAUAAUUUUAUAGUGUCCCAAGUCACCGGUUUAAAAUCCCGAGUCGAGGAAGUUUGACUUUCCUUUUGAAGUCUGCGAACUAGAAAUUCUGAAUAAGGAAUUCUGUUAACCCGAGGGAAGGUGUUAGGCACCCCCAGAUACCGUGGUUCUAGCACGAUUGCUUAGCAGUUUAUACUUGGCUUAAAUUGUUUAACUACUCAUUUUUAAAACCUAUGUGCGAUUAUCUUUUUACCGCUUUUAAAUUACUUGAAUUAUUCGUAAUCAAAGAAAUGAGUUACGCGUACGUAUACUCUUUUAUUUUGGCGCAUUAAAAAUCACGUCACGUGAACGUGUCCAUAAUUAAUUAAUGCUUUAUUAAUUAUUAAAGAAAAUUUUGAUCGAAGUUGCCAGAAUACAUACCUCGAUUUUUUUAGAAUGGAAUUCGUAAUUAUGUUACGCGAACGUACACAUAAUCACAAUAAUAUAUUAAAUCGCCUUUUCAUUGUUGUCGUUAGGACCAAUUCAAUCCUAAUACAAAAUACUAUUCUAAAAUAAGGAAAGAAUUGCCUAAAUUUCCGGGUAAUCGAAAGUUGUGCGCACGGAAUGAAGUAUGUUAUAUUAUACCACAAAAAGGACAUGUAACAAACAAACAAAAAAGAAACACGGCUCUAAUAUGAUUCAACAAUUGUACCAUAUCAUAAAAAGGUUAGGCACUAAGAAAAUAAGGCAUUAUUCAGUGUUUUAACUAACACAAUAAAAUGAUAUAAAUGUUAGUACUAUAAAUUUGCUUUCUUCUUUUUUAUUCUAAAAAGAAUCAAAACUAAAAGCAAAGACCCACUUUCAAAAGUAGGAGCAAUCAAUGAAUAAAAAUAAAAAAAAAUACUUUGUACUGAUCUGCAAAUCAUAUUACAAAUAUUACAAGGUGAAAUGAAAGCAUUAUGUAUAUAGGACCACAACAACACCUGACAUGGAGUAUAAUAGUCAAAAGCAAAGCAAAAGCAAAAGUAAAAGGUGCUAUUAUUUUAGCCGCUUUUAAUAUUUCGGGAAAAAUUCAAAAUUAUUUAAAACACAUCGUAAGCCACGCUACAUAAAUGCACCAGCGGUUUGCAACACAUUUUAUCUAACGUUGUUGAGAUUUGGAUUUGGGUCACAUAAAUGCGCACCCGAGUUUAGGAAGGUAAAUUAUUAAAAUAACGCACCUAAAGCCACUACGCACUUUCAACUUUGCGAGGGCCAUGAAAAAUUCGCUAAAUGACGCGCCUCAAUUUCUAAGGAUAAAAAUAUUAAUUAAGCGAGGGCCACGGAUUAUGAUUGAAAAUUAUAUUCUAUGUACUAAAUAAUAAAAAGAAUCUAUGACUGUAGCUUCUUAAACGUUCCAUCCACAAGCAGUAUAUAUUUUCCAAAAUUUUCUCAUAUAUAUCCUUGUAAAGCUAAUAAUCAUUAGUAUUAUUAUUAUCCAAUCAUCAUUCAAUAUUUAUGCUUUCAUAAAGCAAAAACCAAAACCAGUAACGAAAACACUUUCCAUGCAAAUCCAAUUUUAUAAAUUGUUGUAAGACAAUAUCUAUUUUUUGCCUACUUUUUGUUCGUUUACAAUGUAUACUAUCAUAACAAAAGACCAACUGAAAAACAUUACUUAACAACCAUUUAGCAAUAGCAAACUUUACACAGAAUGUCUCCCAUAAUUAUGCACCCAAUGUCAUGUCCUCAGAAUAUGAAACUAGAAUAACUAAUGGUCUAACUGUUCGAUGAGUUCUUGCCUUUUAACAAUGAAGUCCUCAUUGCUCACAUAAACAACACACAAACUAUAUAUAUAAAAAAAUCUCCAAAUAAGAUAAACUAACAGGAUAUAACGCUAAUUAACAGUAAUUCAAACCCAACAAAUUAAUCUUACAUGAAUUUAUAUUAGAGCCAACAACUUAUAACAUCCAACAAAAUAAAUGACUAAUGAAGCAUGAUAUAACUUGUUAAAUCAAUUCGCUUGCAAAUAUGCCAAACUAGUCACGAACAUGAAAACAUGAGAAGGGAAGAAAGUGAUUGAAACAGACCUUUUAAUAGUUGAUAUAUAAUCUUCAAUACAUAAGGAGUUAUGAACUGCUAAGCUCUCGCACAAACAGACCACGACCGAGACCCAAACAGAGAAACUCGACGCCGACCCCGAACUCAGCUCUCGGAGCUGCUGCAUUUUUGCUAUUUAUUUUUAGCUGAAUAUGGUGGAAGAUAGGAGGAUUUCAUGGUGGCAUUUGAGAGGGGAAACAACGGCUAAAGAAGGAGUAGGUGCUUUAGACUUACAGAUCCAAAUAGAGAUGUGAGGAAAAGGUCCCCUUGUGAUGGAAAUGGCACCCAAAUUUUUUAAAUGUAUUUGUUGUGUGUUUGUGAAGUUUUGUAUGAGUGAGUCUAGGUGUAAAUGAAAUAAAUAAAGUUCUAUCUAAUCAAGAUUGAAGAAGAGCCGAAAGAAGAUGAUGGGAGGGGAUCGGCACUAUUUUUUGUCAUUCUUCAGAGAGCGUCGUUGCUCUUUUUUUGGAAGGGAAUGGGUCUCAAAUCUGAUAUCCUCUCUUCUUUCCAAAUGUAAGUGAAUUAUAUAU
rnacentral:lncRNA from 1 species